AGGACGAACGCUGGCGGCGUGCUUAACACAUGCAAGUCGAACGGUAAGGCCCCUUCGGGGGUACACGAGUGGCGAACGGGUGAGUAACACGUGGGUAAUCUGCCCUGCACUUCGGGAUAAGCCUGGGAAACUGGGUCUAAUACCGGAUAUGAACUCCUGCCGCAUGGUGGGGGUUGGAAAGUUUUCGGUGCAGGAUGAGCCCGCGGCCUAUCAGCUUGUUGGUGGGGUAAUGGCCUACCAAGGCGACGACGGGUAGCCGGCCUGAGAGGGUGAGUCGGCCACACUGGGACUGAGACACGGCCCAGACUCCUACGGGAGGCAGCAGUGGGGAAUAUGCACAAUGGGCGAAAGCCUGAUGCAGCGAGCCGCGUGGGGGAUGGACGGUCUUCGGAUUGUAAACCCCUUUCAGUAGGGACGAAGCGCAAGUGACGGUACCUGCAGAAGAAGCACCGGCUAAACUACGUACCAGCAGCCGC
rnacentral:rRNA from 1 species